CCUAGUCUCUCGUAAACUAAGGCAAGGAAGGAUUGUGCCAGAGCAAGUGUUUGAAGAAAGCUGCCAAGGCACUCGCCUCAAGAAGUCAACGCUCCAGGAUACAAAACAAAUAUGCCACCACUCAAAAUUGCUGAAGAAACCUGGAAAAGGCAAGAUAUUAGGGAAAAGACGCAGGGAGGAUUUGGACUCUGGGACUGAUGAAGAAGAUGAACUAGUGCCUUGCAGGCGGUUCCAGGAAGCAAAGGGCAAGAUUGCAGAGCUUGAAGGAAGACUGCGAGUUUCGAGGGAGCGGUUACACAAACAGCGGCAGCGAGACAUCAAACUACAUAUUCUUCUUGAUUAUAAAAUGGAUUCAAUGGAGGCCUCGAUCAUUGCACUAAUAAAGUUGGAACUGCAUGGUACACGGCCUGCUUCACAGGU